UCUGGAUUCUGAGAGAUUCGGAAUCGUGCUCGCAAGAGAACCGGAACACAGGUGCUGCAUGGCUGUCGUCAGCUCGUGUCGUGAGAUGUUGGGUUAAGUCCCGCAACGAGCGCAACCCUUGUCAUUAGUUGCUACGAAAGGGCACUCUAAUGAGACUGCCGGUGACAAACCGGAGGAAGGUGGGGAUGACGUCAAGUCCUCAUGGCCCUUAUGGGUAGGGCUUCACACGUCAUACAAUGGUCGGGACAGAGGGUCGCCAACCCGCGAGGGGGAGCCAAUCCCAGAAACCCGAUCGUAAUCCGGAUCGCAGUCUGCACUCGACUGCGUGAAGUCGGAAUCGCUAGUAAUCGCGGAUCAGCAUGUCGCGGUGAAUACGUUCCCGGGUCUUGUACACACCG
rnacentral:rRNA from 1 species